rnacentral:rRNA from 1 species
AAAAAAAAAACUCUCAGCUUUUCAACUAAAAAGAUGCUGCUCGGCCUUUAGGGUCCCAAUUCCAUGACAGCCCCAUGGAGUCGCCUUUCUCUCCAAUUAGGAUCUUAGUGGCAUGGGACUCUUCUCUCUCUCCCUCUUUACCUCAAAGAAAAAAGUUGCAAAUCAUAGUCUCCUUCCAAUCCGUGUUCGCCCGGAGAUUAUCCCUGCACAAUGUCAGCUCCAACUCGAUGGCCAUGGGCGACCAACGACGGCUCCUACUGUGCCGCCUAUAUCCACAUGCGAGGCUGCAAGGUCAAGAUUAAACCUUCUACUCAUCUGCCCUCAGUUUCAAAACUCCAUCAAUGCUUCUGAUCUAAAAAGAGCCAACUAUCAGGGUAGGGACUGCUGGAGAGAGAUUUAUCUGUCCGAAGUCGCCGAGGUCAUUCUAGGUUAUGCAUCUCCACUCUUAUUAUAAGUAGACGCGCAAAGCCAAUCUGUUGAUUUAAGGUCGCUAGAUCACAAGUACCUAAAUUGGUUUGAUUUUUCCUUCUCAAUGAGAUAUGUUUGCAUGGUGAAUUGCUUUGUUUUCAUGCUGUAGAUGAUUCCCAGGUGGUUAUUCGGACAGCAUGCUGCCACUCCAGAAGAACUAAGAUAUGUUGCUGUUCCCAAGUCUCAACAGCGACCACGGCCUCUUCUGCCAUGCAAACUUGGUCGGGUGUCUCCCAUGCCUUGGUGGCAGCUAACCGGUUGUGUCCAGUCACACAAGAGAACGGCCAUUAGAGGCAACACAUGCAGAUUGAAGGGGGGAAGCAGGAGUGCCGGAAAACAGAAAUUGCAAGCAUGUCGUUCAUGCAGGAAAGAGGGACAACGGACAGAUGGGAGCUGACGGAGCGAUAGAUGCUUACACCGGUAAGUGCUCUGGACAUGGGAUCUUAGCUAACCCUGGGACUGAAUCAUGCCUUUUGUUGUGGUUCAGCCAUACAUUUAUUUUUUUCAAAGGAAUUAAUGAGUUUUCUUACCAAACUUUUUGAUUUUCUUUCAGAAAUAAUAAACAGUUUUUAAUCCCAGCUAUGUUGCUAUUACAUGGAUUGUGAUUAUUGUUUGUUUCUUCUUUUAUAUUAUAUAAGAAGAAGUGACAAUGGCAACCAUCACUAUGCUCUAUGAUUCUUAAAACAUAUACAAAUGUAUUGAUAUAUUCUGCUAAAAAUCCGUUUGAUGCCAUAUUCAGAUGUAUACUAUAUUUUGUGUAGAAAAUUUUCAGCACGUUAGUUGGGUCAGAUACCAUAUAUAGUUUAAGAAAACAGAAACAUUCAGAUAUUCGGGGACUGAAAACUACAGUUUCAAACACUUAUUGUGUUUUGUAAGUCGAAAUGAUAUUAAAUGUAAAAUAACAAUCCAUACAGUUUGAAAUUGCUUUGAUCUAGGGACACAUGCGUACAUAAACCAACUUAAUGGAGGAGGUUAUUAGGAUGGAAUGAUACGUGGCUAAUUGAUCUUUUCAUGUUGAUGACAUUAGUUGUUGAGGCUUCUGUGCAACCUAAUCAUGGUGAAUCUCUAUAUAGCAACAGUAGUAUAAUAUAUCAGAUGGUAUAUAGUGGACAAAAGGAUCGACUUCGUCAUGUUACCAAUAAAAAAUAGUAGUUUAAAACUAUUAAUAUCUAGCCACAUAUUAAAUUGAUGGCCUUUUGCGUGGGUAUCUGAUGGUUGUCUUUUUUGAAAUGGUGUGGAUGGUAGCCCGUAAAGGUGAUGCCUUACGAUGGAGCAAUUGCAACCAGUUAAAAAAUUAUAUUACGAUCUAUGCCUAUAAGUUGGAGAUUCACUCCAAGGCAACAUACGAAUGAUAUAUAUGGUUUAUAUACAAUUCCCGUCAUUUAUUUUACAUUAAAUUAAAGAAUGUAAUUCUAUAACGAAAAGCGGAAGAGUAAAUAUAUUUUGCUAUUUUGUCUUAGAGGGCACAAGUUCAUGAAACUUAAUCUCUAAAAGUAUAAUUGAUUCCAAGGAAUUUUAAUAGAAAGAUUUUGUGGUGCAGAUGUUGAAAUUAAAGGAAAACUACGUAAUCGAUAUUUUUUGUCUUAUUAGUUGACACGCUAGAUAAAUUAUGCUUCUGUAGGUCUUAAUUGAGUCCGCUUCAGUAUGCAAGAAUUAAUUUUAUUCAAAAUUAUUAAUAGUCUAUUUGAGUUUCACUUUCUAUUGCCAAAAAAUAAACUACAUAAAUAAGUUUACAAAAAUAUAGGUUCAAAUCCAUUGUUCUCCAGAACUUGAGGAAAAAUAAUAAUGAAUGGAUCAAAGGUUCUCACAAAAAAAGAACUGGAGAAAUAUAUAAUUAAUAGAUCGAAAGGUUCUCGCACAAAAAAAUAAUGAAUGGAUCGAAAGGUUCUCGCACAAAAAUAUAGGUUCAAAUCCAUUGUGCUUCAGAACUGGAGAAAUUGUAUACGGGAUUCCUCUGAUAACACCUUUAAACACAUCGAGUAUCAUGAAAAUAUUUGGAUCUCAUCUAUAAUUUUAAACUGAUUUCUUAUGCUUAAAACUAACAAUCAAUCAUAGGAGUACUAUCAGGAUACCCAUUAUUUUUAGAGGAGACCUUCUUGGGCUGUGAGUUGUUACAAGAAACUAGGUUUGUUCAUGAAAAUAAAUGUUACAACUAUAUUUGGUUCGUUUCUAACUAUACCAUGCAAGACAAUAUCCCUAUAUGUAGCUGAUUUAUAUGUUAUUUGCCUUUUUUUGUUGCUAAAGAUUGCACCUUUAUUAUAGUUAAUUAGUGAUUGAGGAAAUCCUGCAAUGACAUUAUUUCUUUCCCCCUACAUAUCACAAAGGACUACUUUCACAUGUUGUCAUACUCAUGCUUUUUUAGUUUUUUUUAUGCUAGCCCGUGCAGUUGCACGGGUUCACGACGAGUUAUUUUAUUAAUUGUUCACCAAGACCAUACAAAGCAAUGCAUCAACAAGUCUGAAGUCAACCAGUGCUAUCUCUCUUUUUUUUUGAAAAGGAGGAUGACCUCCGGCUGCAUCAGGACAAUGCAUGCAAUCUAUCUAUCUAUCUAUCUAUACCUCUAUACCUAUAUAUACCUAUACCAAAAAAUUACCACGUUAAUUAGAAAAUAGGAGCCGUUAAUCUGAUGGGACCGAGUUAUAACGGCCAGAUUUCAUUAGACAAUAGGAACCGUUAAUCUGAUGGAACCGAGUUAUAACGGCCAGAUUUAAGUAGACAAUAUGAGCGGUUAAUGGGGACAGAAAAAUUAUCUGGAUGCAAAAGAAAAGGCAGUCACGUUAAAAAGGAUUUCUGACAAUUCUUCUCCUGUUUCUUUUGUGAUUACACGUACACAUAAUUAUAUUGAGUCCUACUUCUAUACGUAUGGCUGGAAUCACAAGAUAAAGGUGAUGCCUUACGAUGGCCUUUUGCGAGGGUAUCUGAUGGUUGUCUUUUUUGAAAUGGUGUGGAUGGUAGCCCGUAAAGGUGAUGCCUUACGAUGGAGCAAUUGCAACCAGUUAAAAAAUUAUAUUACGAUCUAUGCCUAUAAGUUGGAGAUUCACUCCAAGGCAACAUACGAAUGAUAUAUAUGGUUUAUAUACAAUUCCCGUCAUUUAUUUUACAUUAAAUUAAAGAAUGUAAUUCUAUAACGAAAAGCGGAAGAGUAAAUAUAUUUUGCUAUUUUGUCUUAGAGGGCACAAGUUCAUGAAACUUAAUCUCUAAAAGUAUAAUUGAUUCCAAGGAAUUUUAAUAGAAAGAUUUUGUGGUGCAGAUGUUGAAAUUAAAGGAAAACUACGUAAUCGAUAUUUUUUGUCUUAUUAGUUGACACGCUAGAUAAAUUAUGCUUCUGUAGGUCUUAAUUGAGUCCGCUUCAGUAUGCAAGAAUUAAUUUUAUUCAAAAUUAUUAAUAGUCUAUUUGAGUUUCACUUUCUAUUGCCAAAAAAUAAACUACAUAAAUAAGUUUACAAAAAUAUAGGUUCAAAUCCAUUGUGCUCCAGAACUCGAGGAAAAAUAAUAAUGAAUGGAUCAAAAGGUUCUCGCAAAAAAAGAACUGGAGAAAUAUAUAAUUAAUAGAUCGAAAGGUUCUCGCACAAAAAAAUAAUGAAUGGAUCGAAAGGUUCUCGCACAAAAAUGUAGGUUCAAAUCCAUUGUGCUUCAGAACUGGAGAAAUUGUAUACGGGAUUCCUCUGAUAACACCUUUAAACACAUCGAGUAUCAUGAAAAUAUUUGGAUCUCAUCUAUAAUUUUAAACUGAUUUCUUAUGCUUAAAACUAACAAUCAAUCAUAGGAGUACUAUCAGGAUACCCAUUAUUUUUAGAGGAGACCUUCUUGGGCUGUGAGUUGUUACAAGAAACUAGGUUUGUUCAUGAAAAUAGAUGUUACUACUAUAUUUGGUUCGUUUCUAACUAUACCAUGCAAGACAAUAUCCCUAUAUGUAGCUGAUUUAUAUGUUAUUUGUCUUUUUUUUGUUGCUAAAGAUUGCACCUUUAUUAUAGUUAAUUAGUGAUUGAGGAAAUCCUGCAAUGACAUUAUUUGUUUCCCCCUACAUAUCACAAAGGACUACUUUCACAUGUUGUCAUACUCAUGCUUUUUUAGUUUUUUUUUUAUGCUAGCCCGUGCAGUUGCACGGGUUCACGACUAGUUAUUUUAUUAAUUGUUCAUCAAGACCAUACAAAGCAAUGCAUCAACAAGUCUGAAGUCACCAUCUCGGCAAAAUCCAUCGCUAUUCCUAUCAACUUGUAGAAGGGGGUGCAGAUUAUCUAAGCCGUAUACCCAUACCUCACACCAAAGAUCAACAUCUAAUGCCGGAGGCCCUAACCAAGCCGCAUUGCCAGGUCUGAGGCACACACCGGUCCGGCGCACUCUCAGUGGUCACCGCACGUGCACACUGCAGAAGCCGCCGCCACCAUCUUCCACUGAUCCAUCUUCAGAGCCGGUAUUGACGCAUUGACCUUGCCAGGCCUGCUGUCGACGACACCAUGGCGCCAGACAGCGCCACCUCCCUGCAUGAAUCCAUCAUCACACGUCCAUCACUGGGACCCCACUGCGCCACACCGCCGAAUCUCACCGUCGUCAACACGGUAGAUGCACACCGCUCCACUCCUUACGUCCUCCAUCCAGUAGUUGCUCCAAAAUAAUGCCCUCAUGAGGGAGAGCCGCCAUCCUCUGAUCCGGGGUUCUCGGUGAAAGCACAAGUGCUCCCUGAGUGGUUUUGGUAAUUAAUGUCAACAUAUCUCUUGUUGGACUAAUACUUCUACCUAGUAUAUUUCAGAUGAGUUCAACUGUGGAGUGGCGUGGACAAGAGGAUGUGGAACCCCUUCAAGAUGCGAAGGACAGAAGAUUGGCAAAAGCUCAAAAGCUCAAGACUCUACAUUUUCAUUUUAGUGAUCCAAGAUCACAUUGAGUUGAUAGGAAAAGCCAAUACUAUUAAAAGGGGAUGAGGUGUUGCUUAAUGGCUUGCUUGCUCAAAGUGCUUAGUGAUAUGCUCCAAAGCCCUCAACCACUUUACCAUAUCCACAUAUGUCCCAAACCUAAAGUCAAAAUCGGCCCAACCAAUUUGAUCUAUCCGGCGCCACCGAGUUUACUUGACAUAACCACUGCCAGAAACCCUAGUCAAUUCAGUCUCGCUGAUGGGAUCCCGUUCUCACCGAGAUGGUCCUGCAAACUCUCUGGUUCCUGUUGCAAUAAUUUCGGUCUCACUGAGAUAUGUAAUCGGUCUCACCGAGUUUGCUUGACCAACUCUUUGGUUAGCUCAUUACCAAAAUCGGUCCCACCGAGUUUGUGUAAUCGGUCAAACCAAGAUGAGGUUGUACCCUAACCCUAGCACAUCGGUCCCACCGAAAAGCCUAAAGUUCACAUUUUGAACUAAAUCGGUCUGACCGAGUUUUCUGUUUCGGUCCCACCGAGUUUGGUGAAUUGUGUGUAACGGUUAGAUUUUGUGUGGAGGCUAUAUAUACCCCUCCACCCACUCUUCGUUCGUGGAGAGAGCCAUCAGAACGUGCCUACACUUCCAACAUACAUUUUCUGAGAGAGAACCACCUACUCAUGUGUUGAGACCAAGAUAUUCCAUUCCAACCACAUGAAUAUUGAUCUCUAGCCUUCCCCAAGUUGCUUUCCACUCAAAUAUUCUUUCCACCAAAUCCAAAUCCGUGAGAGAUUUGUUGAGUGUUGGGGAGACUAUCAUUUGAAGCACAAGAGCAAGGAGUUCAUCAUCAACACACCAUCUAUUACCUUUUGGAGAGUGGUGUCUCCUAGAUUGGUUAGGUGUCACUUGGGAGCCUCCGUCAAGAUUGUGGAGUUGAACCAAGGAGUUUGUACGGGCAAGGAGAUCGCCUACUUCGUAAAGAUCUACCCUAGUGAGGCAAGUCCUUCGUUGGCGAUGGCCAUGAUGGGAUAGACAAGGUUGCUUCUUCGUGGACCCUUCGUGGGUGGAGCCCUCCGUGGACUCGCGCAACCGUUACCCUUCGUGGGUUGAAGUCUCCAUCAACGUGGAUGUACGAUAGCACCACCUAUUGGAACCACGCCAAAAAUCUCCGUGUCUCCAAU